rnacentral:rRNA from 1 species
AAUGGCUCAUUAAAUCAGUUAUAGUUUAUUUGAUGGUACCUUGCUACAUGGAUAACUGUGGUAAUUCUAGAGCUAAUACAUGCGAUAAAGCCCCGACUUCUGGGAGGGGUGUAUUUAUUAGAUAAAAAACCAACGCGGUUCGCCGCUCCAUUGGUGAUUCAUAAUAACUUCUCGAAUCGCACGGCCUUGCGCUGGCGAUGCUUCAUUCAAAUAUCUGCCCUAUCAACUUUCGAUGGUAGGAUAGUGGCCUACCAUGGUUUCAACGGGUAACGGGGAAUAAGGGUUCGAUUCCGGAGAGGGAGCCUGAGAAACGGCUACCACAUCCAAGGAAGGCAGCAGGCGCGCAAAUUACCCAAUCCCGACACGGGGAGGUAGUGACAAUAAAUAACAAUAUAGGGCCCUUUCGGGUCUUAUAAUUGGAAUGAGUACAAUUUAAAUCCCUUAACGAGGAACGAUUGGAGGGCAAGUCUGGUGCCAGCAGCCGCGGUAAUUCCAGCUCCAAUAGCGUAUAUUAAAGUUGUUGCAGUUAAAAAGCUCGUAGUUGAACUUCAGACCUGGCCGGACGGUCUGCCUCACGGUAUGUACUGUCCUUGGCCGGGCCUUACCUCUUGGUGAGCCAUCAUGUCCUUUGUUGGGUGUGGUGGGGAACCAGGACCUUUACCUUGAGAAAAUUAGAGUGUUCAAAGCAGGCCUAUGCCCGAAUACAUUAGCAUGGAAUAAUAAAAUAGGACGUGCGGUUCUAUUUUGUUGGUUUCUAGAGUCGCCGUAAUGAUUAAUAGGGAUAGUUGGGGGCAUUAGUAUUCGGUUGCUAGAGGUGAAAUUCUUGGAUUUACCGAAGACUAACUACUGCGAAAGCAUUUGCCAAGGAUGUUUUCAUUAAUCAAGAACGAAGGUUAGGGGAUCGAAAACGAUCAGAUACCGUUGUAGUCUUAACAGUAAACCAUGCCGACUAGGGAUCGGGCGAACUCGAUUUUAUGUGACGCCCGGCACCUUACGAGAAAUCAAAGU